rnacentral:rRNA from 1 species
GGGGAUAACACUUGGAAACAGGUGCUAAUACCGUAUAACACUAUUUUCCGCAUGGAAGAAAGUUGAAAGGCGCUUUUGCGCCACUGAUGGAUGGACCCGCGGUGCAUUAGCUAGUUGGUGUGGUAACGGCUCACCAAGGCCACGAUGCAUAGCCGACCUGAGAGGGUGAUCGGCCACACUGGGACUGAGACACGGCCCAGACUCCUACGGGAGGCAGCAGUAGGGAAUCUUCGGCAAUGGACGAAAGUCUGACCGAGCAACGCCGCGUGAGUGAAGAAGGUUUUCGGAUCGUAAAACUCUGUUGUUAGAGAAGAACAAGGAUGAGAGUAAAACGUUCAUCCCUUGACGGUAUCUAACCAGAAAGCCACGGCUAACUACGUGCCAGCAGCCGCGGUAAUACGUAGGUGGCAAGCGUUGUCCGGAUUUAUUGGGCGUAAAGCGAGCGCAGGCGGUUUCUUAAGUCUGAUGUGAAAGCCCCCGGCUCAACCGGGGAGGGUCAUUGGAAACUGGGAGACUUGAGUGCAGAAGAGGAGAGUGGAAUUCCAUGUGUAGCGGUGAAAUGCGUAGAUAUAUGGAGGAACACCAGUGGCGAAGGCGGCUCUCUGGUCUGUAACUGACGCUGAGGCUCGAAAGCGUGGGGAGCGAACAGGAUUAGAUACCCUGGUAGUCCACGCCGUAAACGAUGAGUGCUAAGUGUUGGAGGGUUUCCGCCCUUCAGUGCUACAG